rnacentral:rRNA from 1 species
AUUGAACGCUGGCGGCAGGCCUAACACAUGCAAGUCGAGCGGCUGACGGGAGCUUGCUCCUGGAUUCAGCGGACGACGGGUGAGUAAUGCCUAGGAAUCUGCCUGGUAGUGGGGGCUAACGUCCGUAAACGGGCGCUAAUACCGCAUACGUCCUGAGGGAGAAAGUGGGGGCUCUUCGUACCUCACGCUAUCAGAUGAGCCUAGGUCGGAUUAGCUAGUUGGUGGGGUCAAGGCCUACCAAGGCGACGAUCCGUAACUGGUCUGAGAGGAUGAUCAGUCACACUGGAACUGAGACACGGUACAGACUCCUACGGGAGGAAGCAGUGGGGAAUAUUGGACAAUGGGCGAAAGCCUGAUCCAGCCAUGCCGCGUGUGUGAAGAAGGUCUUCGGAUUGUAAAGCACUGUAAGUUGGGAGGAAGGGAAGUAAGUUAAUACCUUGAUGUAUUGACGUUACCAACAGAAUAAGCACCGGCUAACUUCGUG